UCAGUAGUCUUUUAAUUGAAGGCUUGUAUGAACGGUUGGAUGAGAGAGUAGCUGUCUCUUAAAUAACUUAGAAUUUGACUUUUAAGUGAAAAGGCUUAAAUUUAAUAGUGGGACGAUAAGACCCUGUAAAACUUUAUACACAUAGUAUUUAGUCUUUAAAUUAUAUUAAAAUAUUGAUAUAUACUCUGGGUAUUUCGUUGGGGAGACGUUGAUAUAAUUUGUAACUGUCUAACUAAAUAAAAUAAUUAUCAUUAUAUUUUGAUCCUUCUUUGUGGGUUAUAAGAAUAAGUUACUUCAGGGAUAACAGCGUAAUUUUCUCAGAGAGUUCUUAUCGAAGAGAUUAGUUGCGACCUCGAUGUUGAAUUAAAAUUUCAGCUAGGUGUAGCCGCUUAGUUAGUAGGUCUGUUCGACCUUUAAAAUUUUAC
rnacentral:rRNA from 1 species